GACGAACGCUGGCGGCAUGCCUAACACAUGCAAGUCGAGCGCGAAAGUUGACUUCGGUUGAUGAUUAGAGCGGCGAACGGGUGAGUAACGCGUAGGCAACCUGCCUUUUAGUUUGGGAUAGCCCCGAGAAAUCGGGAUUAAUACCGGAUGUGUUCUUAAGUCUGCAUGGAUUUGAGAACAAAGAUUUAUCGCUAAAAGAUGGGCCUGCGUCGCAUUAGCUAGUUGGUAAGGUAACGGCUUACCAAGGCGACGAUGCGUAGCGGAUCUGAGAGGGUGAUCCGCCACACUGGGACUGAGAUACGGCCCAG
rnacentral:rRNA from 1 species